rnacentral:lncRNA from 1 species
UUGUUUAUGAAAAAGACAAUCAUUGCAUACAGUGCCUCCAUUUAUUUCUUACAGUGACAAAUAUGAUUUGCAUAACACAGCCUUUUAAUUUUCUGAUUCAUUCACCAAUUAUUAACCACUGUGCACGAACCGCCUAAUGAUCCGGAUCAGCUCGUCCGAGGCCUCCCCGCACGGCUCCGUGACGAAGAAGGCGUGCCCCUGCCCCUCGAACACGACAAGCUCGACCUCCUUGCCGGCCGCCCUCAGCCUCGCGACGUACUCCCCGACGCGGUCGUGGAGCACGUCCUGGUCGGGGUCGAGGACGAGCACCGGCGGGAAGUCGCCGCCGAGGUCGCCGAACGGGACGCUCCCCGGCGCGAGCGGGUUCGCGAUCGGGUGGUCCUUGGUGGCGCCCGCCGGCAGCGCCAGGCGCCACAACUGGUCGAACAGCGCCAUGCCCAUGGGCUCGCCGGGCGGGGACGCCGCCUCGGACGGCGUCAGCUCCUCGCCGCCGAAGUAGGGCCAGAGCAUCACCCAGCCGGCGAGCCGGAGCGGGGUGAGUGGGAGCUCCCCGGACCCGUGGCGCACAGAGAUGUGGUGCGCCAAGUUGCCGCCGGCCGAGUCGCCGGUGACGAACACCCGGCGGAACUCGGCCGACUCGGCGAGCCACAGGUCGGCGCCGGCGCCGGACGCGGCGGCGGCGGCCUGGGAGCGGAGCCAGGAGAAGACGGACUCGGCGCGAGGCGGUAGUCGGCGGAGAGCACGACGGCGGGCAGCUCGGCGGCGAGGCGGAGCGCGCCGGCGUGGAAGUUGAUCACCUCGAAGCUAGCGACGCAGAAGCCGCCGCCGUGGAAGUACACGAGCACCGGCAGCUUCUUCUCCUCCACCCCGCCGCCAGCGCCGGCGGUGGAGAGCCGGUACAUGCGGAGCCGGAGGCCGUGCGCGCCGUCGUAGACGACGUCCUUCCACUCCACGGGUAGGUCCGGCGGCGGCACGCCGCCCACGAGCGGGAACACCGAGUAGUCCGUGGACCGCCUCACCGUGCCGUGUGCAGUUGGCAGUUGCUUGUCUGAUCAUGUGACCAUGUCUAAUUCCAACGCUCAAUUCGGCUCACCAUUUUCCGUUUGAAAUCUAGCUAAAAUCAUUCUUGACGUCCGUAGCUCGUACUUUUUGUGUUGAAGUCUGUGCCGAAUGCCUUUAAGCUUUUUUGAAAAGCGCAGGAAAGAAAUGGCCAAAUGUCGUGCGCUUGUUGGAUUGAAAAGGAAGACGCAUCGCGUUCGCAUUGCAGCUAGAAUCUAGACACUACGCUUUGGAUUGCUGUUUCUCAUCAGCAUGGAAGGCGACGCGCCGCCGCGCGUCGUCGAGGACUGCCGCGGCGCGCUCCGCGUGCUCAGCGACGGCACCGUCGUCCGGUCCACGCCGCCGAUCGCCGGCGACACCGAGGGCGUCCGCGCCGACCCGUCCGUCGAGUGGAAGGACGCUGUCUACGACGCGGCGCAUGGCCUGGGCCUCCGCAUCUAGAUGCCCGCCGCCGCGGCAGCCGUGGUCUACUUCCACGGCGGCGGCUUCUGCAUCGGCUCCUACGCGUGGCCGAUCUUCCACUCGCGAAAAAACACUCACGAAAACACACGCUUGCUGUCACAUAUUAUCAGCUCUUUUCCAAGACGUCAUUCAAUUGUUUUCUUUGAGGAGGAUAAUCUGUCCGAAUUGCUGAGUCAUCAUGGUUACCAAGUGGACCAAGAGUUAUCUUUGCUUCCUGUCACUCCGGCUCUCGAAUCAUGUGAUCAGCUCGAUCACCAAGAGCUCGAUCUGAAUAAGUCCACUUCGUCUUCCCUCUCGAAUCAUGUGAUAAGUCCAUGAUACAUUAACAUCAGUCUAUACAUUAUUACUUUAUUAGUCCAUCAUUACUUAAUUAGUCCAUUAUUACUUAAUUAGUCCAUUAUUACUUUAUUGCCGUGGACUGACUCGCAACUCAUCGUAGCUGUCAAUCUAACCCUCCCACCUCCCUCCCCUGCUCACACGCGCUGCCCCUCCUUCCCCUCCUCACGCGCAGGCAGCCGUAUCGAACUGGCGUCAGUCAGCUAGAUCUCCGCCUUACAGGUAAAAUAUUUCUGUGUAUUUCUGUUUUCUGUUUAGAAUUAAGCAGAGAUUGCAUGAUGCUAGUAAGCAGUCAUCCCAUAUGUUGAACACCUUAUAUGCCUUAGUUUCCAUUCCAGUGUGAUUAGUUCCUUUGUGUGCUUGUACCAACAACUUGAUCUAAUCUUGGCAUAUGGGAAUUAAAUCAGCUGGCCCAUGGCUGGAGGGAAUUCCACCAUAGACUGCUCCUACGAUGCACUGGAGCAAUGCUCCUCUAUGAUUACAUGCGAUGCCUCCUCAUGGGACAAGAGCUUUGGAGAGAAGAUAUGGCUUAUGAACUCACUCCAGCUCAUCAGUGCCGUCCUGGCUGGAGUCAUAGUCGGGAUAGGCAUCUACGGCCAGCGCUACCGCCACCACCGCUUCACCAGGUUUAUCUUCCUCGGAGCCACGACCCUGUUCUUGCCUGUCGUCUCCACUGUUGUCUCCAUGGGCGCCGGGAACAGUAACCACAGCAUAUAUGACCUGGAGGGCUCUCGGUUGAUUGCAGAGUGCCAUCCAGGAAGUCACUCGGUCCUGGUUGUAAUAUGGGCAUUCCUUGUUCAGAUCAUCAUGAUCAAUACCAGUGCAGUAGUUGCUGUCGAUGAUAGAGAAGGUGGAAACGUAGGUCCUCCAUUUGAGCUGCUUGUUCAGGGUGUCUGGACCUUUUACCUUGGUAUCAGCUAUCUCAUUCUCGCCGCUCGCGACAAUUAUUAUGUAGUCACACCUUUUACCUUGGUAUCAGCUAUUCUUGCCUCUGAAGCCACACCUUUUGCUCUCACGUGUGCCAAAAUGGUAUUGAAAUAUUAUGCAUAUGAAAAGGCGCGACAAUCCUUUGCUCUCGGACGCAAUCCCCAUCUUAUUUUUGGAUACAUGAAGCAACAAUCGUUACAAGAAACAAGUCAGGAUGGUGAACCAAUGGUAGCUGAGGAUGCACCUCCCCCGCUGCUGGUUAUGGGAGAAGAGAAAAGACACGUGGAGAAGCAGCCUCUUGGGUAUGUGUUCAAGGAUGACUCAUGGACAACUUCGCAUAACAAUGGCCUGGUGACUAUUGAUAGAGUUUGGAGGAUGGAUAACGUGCUUCCAACAUCAACACUGAAACCACAAAAAGACUUAUGCUUGUCAUUUGCAUUGUUCAAGUUGUUGCGGUGCCGAUUUGCAAGGUACAAGGUCAGAACUGCUGCCUCCAAGGGCACCUUCAGUUUUUUCUGGAGCUUAUUGCUGAAGGAUGGCGAACAUGAUAGGGUCUUUUUGGUCAUUUCGGAUGAGGUUUCUUUCCUUCAUGAUUAUUAUUAUUCAUCCCUCCCAGUCUCCUAUUCCAAGUAUUGGUUGCCCGUUGCCGGUAUCUUGAUCUCACUACUGAGCAUAGCUUACUGUUGUGCAUUGAUGAUCACAGCAACGCUUGCAUCCCUGUCGUUGCCGAAGGAUCUAUCCGCACCUCAGUUUGCAUGCUAUUUCUUUUGCAUUCGAGGAAAACUGAUGAGCGACACCGAGUAUAAAGGUUAUGGGAAUGGGUACCUCGGUAUGGUGCUAGUAAUUUUGCUUUCGGUGUUAGUCAUGAUGUCUGAGGUGAGGGACAUAGCUACCUACAUCUACUCCAACUGGACUAAAGUUGCCGUCACCUGCCACCUUGUAAACCAUGAGCAUUCACUUCUCAAGAAGAAAUGGAUUGGCCUUCUGCUGCGUUGUCGAUGCAAGCUGAUGAAGCAUUGGGAUGAGAAAAUAGGUCAGUGCACUAUGCUGGAGAUUCGCCCGAGCACAACCCUGCCUGUACUAAUUCUCAGGCGUCUCCUCCACUUACCAGACCACAAGAGGAAGGUCAAGGUGCCUGCAGCAGUGAAGGUUUGCAUCAUGGAAGUUGUAAGAAGCACUAGAAAUGGAGACCUUAGCAAUGGCACAGCAUCUCUCCGCUGCCGGGGCCAAGUUGGUGAAAGGCUCCUCUGGGCUUGCAACACCAAGAGUACGUCUUAUACCAUACUGACAUGGCACAUCGCCACAUGCAUCCUCGAGGUCAGGUACCCACACCGGCUUGAUCAACGACAAGGUUCUUCUUCUCCAAUUCCGAACACGGAUUAUAAGAUCGUUGCCACUCACCUAUCAAGGUACUGUGCUUACCUUGUGACAUGGUGCCCUGAGUUACUCCCUGAUGAUGAUGCAUGGAGCAGGAGCCUGUACGAGGAUGUCAAGAAGGAUGUUGAGCGUGUACUUGCCGGCUGCACAGCAGGAGACUCACUGACGCCAGAAGCAAAUUGCCAACAGCUGAUCGAAGUGCUGAGUGCAGAUGCGAAGCAUGAAGUGCUCAAGGAAGGCGCUAGGCUUGGAAAGCAGUUGUUGGCGCUGGUGGUCGAAGGUGAGGACGAUAUGGCGGCGUGGAAGUUACUGGCUGAAUUUUGGUCGGAGAUGAUCGUGUAUGUCGCGCCAUCCGACAACCUCAAAGGUCAUUCGAAGGCCAUCGCCAGGGGUGGCGAGCUGAUAAAUCUGCUCUGGGUGUUGCUCUUCCAUGCUGGGAUCGUCAGUAGGCCAGGUGAGGACGACGGUGUUGCUCCUACUUCUGCUGGCGUGGUUUAGUAGAGUCUCCUGUGUUUGGAACUACUGUUUCCUCCUUGUUUCGGAUUCUUCAUCGUGGUGCGUUGUCUGCAGUUGUUUGUGUAUGUUGAGUUCAUUUCUUAUACCAGAAUUUGUUAACUUGUGGCAGCAUGUGACUCCAUCUUGGUAAUCAGAUCAUCAAUUGUAACAAGUCUAUUUAGAGGUCCUAUAAUAUUGUCGAGACUCGAUAUUCAGAUGUAAUGUUAAAUUAUUUCUACGUACUGUAUUGUGAUCAAUAUAUAUAUUUUAAUUUGGUAUUGUAAUGAAGUGCUUGUAUAUUACACUAUUACUAAUUGGAGGCUCCUAAAUCCUCACGAUGUGCUCUAGAAAAAUAGAUAAAUCUUAUAAAUUCCCACAAAAUUAAAAUUAGAAAUAUCCAACCGUCAAUCCAGUAGACUCUAAUCAUAAUAGCCAUUGGAUCUAUUAUGUUUUCGAAAAACUUAAUCACAUCCCUCAUUAUAAUAAUGACCUCAUUAUAAUAAUAGUAUAAAGUAACUCCUAAUUCUAUAUCGAAAUUUCCCACCUCUAGCAUAGGUGGGUAAUUUAUAUGGUUGGCAUCAUAACUACACAUCCAGUUUGUAGCUGUGAAUCCAUUGAGCCGGUUAUGAUGCUGGAACACAACCAGUGGUGGAAGAUGGAACAAAUUUAGGAGUACGGAAUAAAUUUAAGGUCUGACGAAAUCAAAAAUUGAAAGUAACCAAAAAGAUAUCCUUUUCAUUAUAAUAGCACGAAACAGUGAAGGGCGGAAUAAAUUGCCAGCUCGAUGAUCAAACAUUUAGGAGAUAAUAGCUGCAGGUCAAGAGAUGAUCAAACAUUUAGGAAACAACACAUGAAAUGCACAGCCACCGAUUGACCAAAACGAAAAGGAAAUUAAAAUGAAUGCCUAAUGAUUUGAUUUCAAAUAAAAAAUGCUAAAAAUGAAAAUUUGCAAUCUGUACCUCUCAAUUCAGCCUUGCCCUUGCCCUUGGACUCCAUUUUAGCCUGUGCACUUCUGAUUCCCUGCGUUGUACGCUGCUUCUUGUAACACCAAUGGUGUUUACUAUAAAUUAAACCUUACUUAAGCACUAAUGAGGAGAAAUAAAAAGGAAAAGAGAAAAGAAAAGGAGAAAUACAGAAAAGAAGACUUGGUCAAACAAGGUUGAAUUAGAGAGUUCACUAAGUCAACGAUGGUCAAAUUAAGUCAAAAAGGUGAAUUUGGAUCAAUUGUGACAAAUGGAGUGGAUUAAAUUCAAAUCCAGUUUGAAUUUUUAAAUAUAAACUUGAUUUGGAAAGAGGAGUCAAAUGUGGUCAAGUACCCAUGUUUGAGUGCUGUUUCAAAAGGAUUUUAUAUAACAACUUUGGAAAACAUUCUACUAAGAGUUUGAGUAUAAUGUGUAUAGAACACUUUGGACUUGAUGUGGUUCACAGAAAAUGGAAUUUGGGUAUUUCAAUUGAAGCUCAAAUUUGAACUUUGUGCUGUUUGGAGACUUAAGCAGAUUCUCAGUUCAGUAUCUGUAACUGAAACUCAUACAGUUCAUAAUCAAAUCUUCAAAACUCUUAAUCUCUCAAACCAUGGAUCCUUUGAACAAAGUUCAUAUCCAUCAUUUGUAUACCUAUGUUACAUCUACAUUUUUGUUUAUUGGUGCUUGAAGAGAUUGUGUUUGGUUUGGAUGAAUUUUGCUUAAGAAAGAAGGAAUGUUUCUGUGUACCGAAGCCAAAACAUAUAGCAGUAAGGGUGCUUUUGGUUGGGCUUUCCAACCUACUUUUGCAAGUCAAAAGCUAACCAAAGGACCUAAAAGCCACAUAUGCUUUAGGUUAAAAGCUUCUUUUGCUCUAGGGUGUGUUUGAUUGGGCUGUGACUUUUGGAAAAGCUCCUGUGAGCUGUGGGAUGUAGAAAAGCAGUUGUGAGAAAGUAGAUUGGGCUGUGAUUUUGAUGUGUUCUUCAUCCAUCAAAGUAAUUGGUCCACAUAAAUAGAACAAUAUUCAUCAAAAGACUUAUACAAUGAUACUAUCCCUCAACAUUACUGUCCUCUUGUCGCACUAACCAAAGCAUCAGCUAUCUUAGUACGAAUGGUAUUCAUGGUAUCCUCAUUCUCCACACGUUUCUCAUCUUCGGAUAUGACCUUUCUCGUCUACUAUUUAUUGAUGAAAUAUUUUUUAUUUCCAUAACCAUAUCCAUUAGUGGGUUCCACUUGUCAUUCUCGGUGCCUAUCGUUUCUUUUUUUCUUUUUGCCUCGACCGUGUCUUCUAGCAUAGGACGAGCAUCGUCGCCCAAGCUCAGUCCCAGGAUGGAGAGGAGCUCGAGCUUGCCUGGGCCAUAGCCGCCCAAUGCGAGCUUUGCCUGCGCCAUGGCUGCCCAGCUCGAGCUUGCCAACGCCAUGGCCGCCUAGCUUGAAGACGAAGUACACCACCUUGGUGCGCAGUAGGAAGUUGCGCUCGAUGGUGAAGACGAUGAGCGUGACGAGCCACUGGCUGAGGAGGUGGCCGGAGAAGAUGGUGGUGACCAUGACACAACACUUUCAGAUCUCCAGCCCCAAGAGGAUGCGCCCUCUGCAGGGGCCGCACGACGACGCUGACAAUGAGCAGCGCGAGGACGAGGACGAGCACGGAGAGCUCGAGGCUGAGGCGCGCCUGGCAGUGGCACCGUGCCGCAAAGGCGGGUGUCCGGGAGCCAUCCCUGUUGCGGAAGAGGUCCUCCUCGUGGUCGGCAAUCCAUCCGAGCUACAAUCCAUCGUCGGCAAUGCAUCAUUAAGAAAAAUAGUAUCUGGAAAAGAUAUGGGUAGUUUAUUGUCAGUGCAGAAGAUCUGAGCUACAAGGUUUAGAGGAAGGCAGGUCCCGUAAUGCCGUUGUCGUAGAUAGGUCUAUUUUACAUCGCUAUUGGCUUGUUCAUUGUUAUUGAGGUUAUUGCUGGGUUACAAUCUAUGGUUCUGGUUUUUGUCGGACCAGCUACAGUAAGAUCGCAUCGAGUUUUGUCAGUGUACCUAUCAUAAAAUCCAGUAAAAUUCACUUGAAAAUUACACGCAAAUCGGCAAAUGUUCUGUAUUUUGUCAAAGAAGAAAAAGGAAGUUGUGUUACAGGAUAACAACUAUAAUCUUAUUGGGGCAAGAAAUUAGACAUGCGGAAUUUUUACCACAUAUUGUUUGCGCAUUUCAUUGCCAAAAAAAGGCAUUGAUCAGCCCAUCUAAACGUCUUAAAUAAAUGAAUGCAACACAUACCGUUCAUCUGAUACUGUUGUAAUAUGUAUCUGCCAUCUUCUAAAUCUCAACUGAAAACUUACAUCCCUAGCCAUUGCAAUAGCAACUUGUCUCUAUCAUCCUCAGUCAAUCAAGUAACAGACAUCAGGAAUGCACCACCACUCGCUGUCAUCUCAGCCGUAUGAUUCUAAAUUUCUAAUUAAUUACUCCCUUCAUCCUAAAAGACUAUUCGUUUAGUCUUCAAAACUUAUCCUACAAAGAGUGUUUAUAUAACUUUCAGACCAUCCAACAAAGACCUUCAUAAUACCUUCUGGCCCAGUGAACGAAUCGAUUAAUUACCCCCAUCAUCGAUGCCCGAUCCAGACUCGCUAAAUAAGGAAGGCUAAUAGGUCUGACAAUUACUGCAAGCCUGCAUGCAUAAUUAAUUAUACUCGGCAAUCCAUCCGAUUAAGAAGAGUUAUUAGGGGUACUUUGAACUUCUAGUAUUUCUACUAUCGUGUCUAAAAUUUUCUAAACGAACUGUCUUUGUGGGACGGAGCGAGUAGGCGCCUCUAGUUGUUGAAUUAUAUCUGUUUAUGAAAAAAGACAUUCACCAAUUAUUAACCACUGUGCACGAACCGCCUAAUGACCCGGAUCAGCUCGUCCGAGGCCUCCCCGCACGGCUCCGUGACGAAGAAGGCGUGCCCCUGCCCCUCGAACACGACGAGCUCGACCUCCUUGCCGGCCGCCCUCAG